rnacentral:lncRNA from 13 species
GGCCAAACCCACCCAGGGCGGUAGCACAGAGCCAGGGCUCGGGAGGGGUAUCCCUUCGUGAGCCGUCCCAUCGAAACCGGUUGCAACUUUCGCCAGUCUAGACCCCAGGCGACAAUGUCUGCACCUGACCCAGCCACCGAGGACUUUCUUUGAUGCCAGGUCGGCAACGGGUAUUCUCGUUGGCAUGCUUUUAUGCCCCCUUGGGUGUAUCGAUCCCUUUGUUCUGCUGUACAAUUAUUGGAGCCAAAGGACCUUUGGGAAAGCCUAGCUCACAGGACAAAAUCUCACCCUUUAUCCGCUGUUGCUGAAAAGCCAAACUCUUGGUUUCAUCCCGUACCUAUGAACCCCGGAGCAGCUUUUUAUACAUCCCUCUCAGGGCAGUGACACAGCAGAAAACGCCGGGACGCUUCUGCUUCCACUGCUGAGAAGCCCCAUCCCCAGGGGCCACCAUGGCCCAUCUUGACGUCCCAGCCCCAUAUCAGAGAAUUUCCCAAUACCAGGUUGCUUGUCGGGCCAUCCCUCUGUCCCCAAGGUCAACCUCGAAGGCUGAAAGACAAGCUCGAACUAAUGAAGAAUGAGCAUUUUCCUACUAAUCCUUCUCCAGGCUCGCCUGCAGGACCUGUGCAAACCUGAACAUUCCUGAAAUUCAGGGGAGAAGCAGCCACCUAUCCACCCAGCUUCAGUGGGGGAGGCCUCAGGGCUCUGUCAAGGGCAACUGCGAGAGAGAACAGCUUAUUGAGAAAGGAAGCCACCUCUUGCUUAGCCCCUGUAAUGUUUAUGUUGGAAAAGCCCCAGCUUGGUGGUAUGAGAGCUGUAGGAAGAGGCUGCACCUGCAGAUAUGAUGCCCUGGUCCCCUUCAGGCAGAAGUUACCUUAUGGAGGAGUUUCCAGCAGGACAGGUUGCUGAGAAGGGUACCCCCGGUUCUGAGGAGAUCAGAGUUCAGUGGAGCUGAUGUUUAUGUAUGAUCUGGACACUCUCAUCUUGCCAACUGCUGUUAUCACAAGGUUAUGCCUGAAUGGCUUUUUUGAGCCAACGCCUCUCUCAGUGACAUCAGGCUCUUAUAUGGUAAAUUUGCUUCUGUGGCCUGAGUCCAGAACACAUCCUAGUCUUCUCUGGAGAGAAGCAGAGUCAGGGGAAGGAAGAGAUUUUGUAAUGUGGACAGUGUUCAGUGUUCAUUGCUGAGGAAUCGAGAGUCAGUUUGCAUUCGUCAUGGGCGGAGGACCCCGCAGCUGGUGGAAGGCCAGCAGCAGUGUAAAGGUAAGACUGAAUGGUGAGGACUUCCUGGGAUGGAGGAGGUAGGGAAAUUAAAGGAAGCUUCCUGAGGUUAUGCCCCUUUGCUCCCUGUGUUCAUUUUCUGGAGCUGCCAUAACAAAAUACACAGCCUGGUUGGCUUAAACAACAGAAAUGUAUUGUCUUACAAUAUUGGGGGUUGGAAGACCAACACCAAGGUAUGUUCAGGUUUGGUUUCUCUUGAGGCCUCUCCCCUUGACUUGCAGAUAAUGGCCUUCUCCCUGUGUUUUCACAUGGUGUCUCAGUUGUGUGCCCUUGGUAUCUCUUUUUGUGUCCCAAUUUCCUCUUCUUAUAAGGACACUAGUCAAAAUGGAUUAGGGUCCACUUUAAUGACUAAUUUUAACUCAAUCACCUUUUAAAGGACCCUCACUCCAAAUCUAGUCACAUUCUGAGGUCCCAGGGUUAGAUCAUCAACAUGUGACUCUUAGGGGGAACAUAAUUCAGCCCAAAGGACUCCCUUUCGGCCCUUCUGAGAAUACCAAGCAGUGGAGACCUAAGCUUUUAGCACCUCUGGUCCUGCCAGACCUCAGAGAGUAUGAAUGAGAGAAUGGCCAACCUAAGGUUACAUAAAUGAAUAAUGAGUCACCAGUGAG